UAGGGAAUCUUCGGCAAUGGGGGGAACCCUGACCGAGCAACGCCGCGUGAGUGAAGAAGGUUUUCGGAUCGUAAAGCUCUGUCGUUAAGGAAGAACGAGUGCGAGAAUGGAAAGUUCAUGCUGUGACGGUACUUAACCAGAAAGGGACGGCUAACUACGUGCCAGCAGCCGCGGUAAUACGUAGGUCCCGAGCGUUGUCCGGAUUUAUUGGGCGUAAAGCGAGCGCAGGCGGUUAGAAAAGUCUGAAGUGAAAGGCAGUGGCUCAACCAUUGUAGGCUUUGGAAACUGUUUAACUUGAGUGCAGAAGGGGAGAGUGGAAGUCCAUGUGUAGCGGUGAAAUGCGUAGAUAUAUGGAGGAACACCGGUGGCUAAAGCGGCUCUCUGGUCUGUAACUGACGCUGAGGCUCGAAAGCGUGGGGAGCGAACAGG
rnacentral:rRNA from 1 species